ensembl:miRNA
GGUCUCACUUUGUAGUCCAGGCUGGCCUUAAAUUCAUGGAGAUCCUCCUGCCUCAGCUUUCUGAGUGCUGGGAU